rnacentral:lncRNA from 1 species
AUGCCAGGCAUCCAGCUAGUCCGGUCCUGCUUGCAUCCGAGGGUGUGCCAAGGCCUCCCCCGGGCCGUGCCCCUCCCUUGGGACAGAGCCGGCGUCCGGAGCAGGCCAGACCCGAGUCCCGCACCCUCAUCUCUCCCAAGUCCGCUCUGCUCUCGCCAGAGCCUCUGGGCCAUCCGGGCGGGCUCCAAGGCACAGAGGCUCACGCGGCCUCGACAGGGCCGGCCAAGCGCCCUCAGGCAGCGAAGCUGGCAGCCGGCCCUCCCCACGUCUCGCCCACGCCCUCGUGCUCUGACCAGCUUCCUCGGCAUUUCCGGCCGCCCGACCUGCUGCCCUGCAAGCCCCAAAGCAAGGCCUCCACCUCCCCAGCCCGCAAGUCUGCUUCCUGUCCUGACUCCCAGCAGCCACUGCGACACGCCUGGGGCUGAGUCAGUCCCCCGGGGGCUCCGUGGGCGGCUGGGCUGGCCUGGGUCUCUGGGGGCCAAGCGGGACGAGCCAGCGUCCGGCUCAGAGGCCGCCCCAAAGUCACUUUGGAACUGGAACGUGGCUUUAGCUGGCCCAAGGCCGGACCAACCUGGGGCGGAUCCGAGCAUUCCGGACCCUCGAAGGGCCCGCUUGACAAGAGCCCCGGGCCUGGGGGCCUCCUGCGCGGGGGAACCGGGCCAGCCUUCCGAGCUGCAGACGAGCAGCGGCGCUUUUCUACCAGCGCCAGGCACACGGAGGGGAGAAAAGACGCCUGCCCGGGGCUCCUCGGGGCCCUCCUCCCGGAAACGCUGGGCCUUGAAGACGCGGCCUCCCUGCCUCCAGGCUCCACGACGCAGGGGCCCGAAGCCCGAGGGAAGAAGCGGAGCCCGGGGCCGCAGAGUCCUGGAGAAGACCCUGCGCAGCCGCUCGGGGACUCCCGCGGGGGGAGCCGACCAAAAGCAUGCCCCAAACCACGGUCAGGGCAAAACCCAGAAGCCAGGACAGGUGGACGCGGCCCCCAGGCUGGCGGCCCCGCACUGCGGCCCAGAGGCGCCAGCUGGGCCGGAGGAAGGCUGGCCCAGGGGCCGGGCGCUCUUUCCCCCUGUUCCUGGGGGCCGCUCAGCUUCAGGGAGAGGACGCUGGGGGUCACUGCGGAGCCAGCCCGACCCCCAGAAGCUUUAUCAGAUGAGGGGCGGGAGGGGGCUCCCAAGUCACAAAUAG